UCCCGGAUGGCGCAGUGGUCACCGCAUCUGCCCAGUAAGCUGGAGAUCCCGGGUUCGAAUCCCGGUCUGGCAC